CACUGAGCUCAUGCACGAAAGCGUGGGGAGCAAACAGGAUAGAUACCCUGGUAGUCCACGCCCUAACGAUGUCUACUAGUUGUUGGGGAGGGAGACCUCCUUGGUGACGCAGCUAACGCGUGAAGUAGACCGCCUGGGGAGUACGGUCGCAAGAUUAAAACUCAAAGGAAUUGACGGGGGCCCGCACAAGCGGUGGAUUAUGUGGAUUAAUUCGAUGCAACGCGAAAAACCUUACCUGGCCUUGACAUGCCACUAACGAAGCAGAGAUGCAUCAGGUGCUCGAAAGAGAAAGUGGACACAGGUGCUGCAUGGCUGUCGUCAGCUCGUG
rnacentral:rRNA from 1 species